UGCCAAAAAGAGAACUUUAUUUGCUCAGAUAGGUCAAGGGCAGCAGUGGGGCCAGCCUCAGAAAUGGCUAGAUGUGGGUCUCUGGUCCUGCCAGGAUUCCUCUCUGACUCACUGCAUAUCUGCCUCAUUCUCUCCUGCUCUUCGUGAGCAUCCUACAUGUGCUAGGUGCCACAACUGCCCAAGCUCCGGGCUUGCCUUCCAACUUUUGUAGAGUCUUUUUUAAUUCAUGAAAUAUAACAUAUACUUAAAAGUAUAUACUGAUAUAGGUACAGUUUAGCCUUCCAUUUUUCUCAGCUGGUUGUCAGAGAGGGAAGAGAGUUUUUUCCUACAGUGUAAGGUACAAAAAUCCCAGGGAAGCCCUGUGAUUGGCCUGGGUGGGUCAUGUGCCUGCCUUGGACAAGUCACUGUGGCCAAGCAUGGAUAUUACCAUUGACCCACCUCAGGUCUCAGCCCACCUCAUGUGGCCAAGGGGCAGAGGAAGCACAGACAUGGCCACACUCACUUGUAUUCACAAAAAUAGAAUUUAAGCAAUGAAAGAUAUGAAAAGGGGAUAUUUCUGCAGGUUCCUGGUUUCUCUAGGAUGCUCUAGCUCUGGGAGCACAGGCCUGCUUAGAGGUAUAAGGGGGAAUUUUGCACUUAUUGCUGUCGGGAUAUCCUGCCUCUCCUUGCUUAAUGUAAGUUUGGCUCAGUGUAAUAUAUAGAAUAAGCACCUACUUGCUUCAUCAAACUUAGUAUAGAGAAAGGAGUGAAAUGAACUGGCUCACGAAUGAACUCUGGCUGGUACUUGUACAAAUACCAGCAUAGCUGGGAAGGCAGAAAUUGAGUAUAUAUCUGUGCUGCAAAAGAGAUGUCCAAAGCACCCAGCAGCACAUAACAGACCAAAGGAUGUACUGACAUCAGCUCCGCUUAGUGUCAUGGUUGGGAGGAAGGCCUUCUACGUAGACAGACUAGCAUGUGUAACAGUUCUGGGGUUGGAACGCAUACACUGGAGGAAGUAAAAGAGGGCCAGCGUGUCUUGAUAUAGAGAACUAGGGGAGAACAGCUCAAGAUGAGGGAGGUAGGGGGCAGAUCAGACAUACUGAGAAAUACUAAAUUCUAGGCUCACAGUUCUUUCUCUCCAUCUUUAGCCAGGUUUGGCCUGUGAUCAUUCCAGGAGGCCUGUGGUCCAACUCCUAAACCUGACCCAUCCUGUCAUGGCAUCCCCUUUAAGAGCAAAAUGAGCAGUGGAGGAGCCUUAGCAGCUGGGAAAUAGUGGCAGGGCUAUUUCCCCCUUUCAAAAGAGCUAGGCUCUGCUGCUCAUAAUACUUAUUAUUAAUGGUAAUCAUCACACUGGACACCUCUAUUGCCACAGAACAAGCUGAUCUUCAAAUCUGUCAGGAGCAAUAAUUACUCCUCCCAGCUCCCCUAUGAAAAAGGGUGGGUGUGCAGAGGUGAGGGGAGAGAGUUUUGUCCCUGGUGUCCUGACCCCCCUGGCACUAACGAAACACCAGUCCCUCGAUGGACACCUGUUCUUUUUUGCCACCUGGAAUGUGUCCAGGGAGGAAUAGGAUAUGAAGAUGUGGGAAAGUUGACUGCCCAAGCUCUGUGCUGCCCGUGCCUUGGCUGAAUCUCCGGGCCAGACCCUUUGAUCCGCUGGCCUCCUGGGUCUCCUGGACAAUUCUUCCUGAUGCACCUCGAACUCAGCUGAUCAAAACUGACCUCAUCUGUCCACUGAGACCAGCUUCUCCUCUUGAAUUCUCCAUUUUGGGGAGCCCCCUACCACCCACUCAAUACUGUACCGCAGG